AGAUGUGAUCAUACCAGCACUAACGCACCGGAUUCCAUCAGAACUCCGAAGUUAAGCGCGCUUGAGCGAGAGUGGUACUAGAAUGGGUGACCCCCCUGAGAAGUUCUCGAGUUGCAUCCC